rnacentral:rRNA from 1 species
AUGAACGCUGGCGGCGUGCCUAAUACAUGCAAGUCGAGCGAACGGACGAGAAGCUUGCUUUUCUGAUGUUAGCGGCGGACGGGUGAGUAACACGUGGAUAACCUACCUAUAAGACUGGGAUAACUUCGGGAAACCGGAGCUAAUACCGGAUAAUAUUUUGAACCGCAUGGUUCAAAAGUGAAAGACGGUCUUGCUGUCACUUAUAGAUGGAUCCGCGCUGCAUUAGCUAGUUGGUAAGGUAACGGCUUACCAAGGCAACGAUGCAUAGCCGACCUGAGAGGGUGAUCGGCCACACUGGAACUGAGACACGGUCCAGACUCCUACGGGAGGCAGCAGUAGGGAAUCUUCCGCAAUGGGCGAAAGCCUGACGGAGUAACGCCGCGUGAGUGAUGAAGGUCUUCGGAUCGUAAAACUCUGUUAUUAGGGAAGAACAUAUGUGUAAGUAACUGUGCACAUCUUGACGGUACCUAAUCAGAAAGCCACGGCUAACUACGUG